UCGCAUUGAAACAGCGGUUCUCAUCUAAUCACUGAAGUUAAGAAACGUUGAGCCGAGUCAGUACCUAGAUGGGUAAACACUUAGGAAUUCCAGGUGCUGGA